GACGUAGGGGGCAAGCGUUGUCCGGAAUCAUUGGGCGUAAAGCGCGUGUAGGCGGUUCAGUAAGUCUGCUGUGAAAGUCCAGGGCUCAACCCUGGGAUGCCGGUGGAUACUGCUGGGCUAGAGUACGGAAGAGGCGAGUGGAAUUCCCGGUGUAGCGGUGAAAUGCGCAGAUAUCAGGAAGAACACCCGUGGCGAAGGCGGCUCUCUGGAACGCAACUGACGCUGAGACGCGAAAGCGUGGGGAGCAAACAGG
rnacentral:rRNA from 1 species